rnacentral:misc_RNA from 1 species
UCCUCCCCCGUCCCGCCACCUACCCGUUCUCCCUCCUCGACGCCGCUGCGGAUCUCUUCGUCUCCUCGUCCGAAGCCGCCUUACGCCGCCUCCAGGAGCGAUCUGAGGCGGAUCGCCAGCUCCGCAAGCUCAGCGACCGUGUCGCUGCUCUCGAGCUUGGCCUCUCCAAACCUGCGCCUGAUGCCGCCGUCGAUCGCACCUACAAGUGGACGGCUGAGAUCAAGGGGGUCAAGGGCGACGACUCGGACCGCAAAUACAAGCUCGUCGCAACUCACAAGGCCGGCGAGAAGAAGAUCGUCAAGUGGAGCGCGGAGGUCAAGGGCAAGGGUAAGAACGCCCCGGCCACCCGCACGUACACUUUCCAGACCUCCUCAACUCCCGCGGAGAAGAAGAAGAAGGAGAAGCAAGAUGUUACAAAGAAGGUUGUCAAGAAGAACAACACCAGCCCUACCUCACGUAUUGUAGAGAUUGAAGACGCUCCGAGCCCCAGGAAGAUCAUCAUCAGAAAGGCGUUUACGAGGAGGGCGGUGGAUCAGUGCAAGGGGAAGAAGAAGGAGAUAUCGCCGCAGGAUGCGGCAGUGAUGAUACAGCUGACAUUCAGGGCGUAUAUGGUGCGGAGGUCUCAGGUGCUUCGUGCGCUGAGAGAGCUGGCGGUGGCGAAGACGAAG